rnacentral:rRNA from 1 species
GCAGUCGAGCGAGACCUUCGGGUCUAGCGGCGGACGGGUGAGUAACGCGUGGGAACGUGCCCUUUGCUACGGAAUAGUCCCGGGAAACUGGGUUUAAUACCGUAUGUGCCCUUCGGGGGAAAGAUUUAUCGGCAAAGGAUCGGCCCGCGUUGGAUUAGGUAGUUGGUGGGGUAAUGGCCUACCAAGCCGACGAUCCAUAGCUGGUUUGAGAGGAUGAUCAGCCACACUGGGACUGAGACACGGCCCAGACUCCUACGGGAGGCAGCAGUGGGGAAUCUUAGACAAUGGGGGCAACCCUGAUCUAACCGUGCCGCGUGAGUGAUGAAGGCCUUAGGGUUGUAAAGCUCUUUCAGCUGGGAAGAUAAUGACGGUACCAGCAGAAGAAGCCCCGGCUAACUCCGUGCCAGCAGCCGCGGUAAUACGGAGGGGGCUAGCGUUGUUCGGAAUUACUGGGCGUAAAGCGCACGUAGGCGGACUGGAAAGUUGGGGGUGAAAUCCCGG